rnacentral:rRNA from 1 species
GAUGAACGCUGGCGGCGUGCCUAAUACAUGCAAGUCGAGCGAACAGACGAGGAGCUUGCUCCUCUGACGUUAGCGGCGGACGGGUGAGUAACACGUGGAUAACCUACCUAUAAGACUGGGAUAACUUCGGGAAACCGGAGCUAAUACCGGAUAAUAUAUUGAACCGCAUGGUUCAAUAGUGAAAGACGGUUUUGCUGUCACUUAUAGAUGGAUCCGCGCCGCAUUAGCUAGUUGGUAAGGUAACGGCUUACCAAGGCAACGAUGCGUAGCCGACCUGAGAGGGUGAGCGGCCACACUGGAACUGAGACACGGUCCAGACUCCUACGGGAGGCCGCAGUAGGGAAUCUUCCGCAAUGGGCGAAAGCCUGACGGAGCAACGCCGCGUGAGUGAUGAAGGUCUUCGGAUCGUAAAACUCUGUUAUUAGGGAAGAACAAAUGUGUAAGUAACUAUGCACGUCUUGACGGUACCUAAUCAGAAAGCCACGGCUAACUACGUG